rnacentral:lncRNA from 1 species
AAAAAGCAUUAUAUAUAUUUUUUGAGUCUUAUUGAAUCUUUUUUUUCUUUUUACAGGUUAAUUUCCCUUGGAAAAGUAUUGAUGAUCAAGUGAUGCUAGCAGCAACAGUGUUAAAGGCUUUAACGCUUUUAAAGGUUAAACAACAACAACAAAAUAAUCUCCGUUCAUCAGGAUGUCAAAUAUCACAAGGGUUCUCACCAUUGUUCCCCAUCUUCAGAGGCGAUUCCUAGGGUCAAAGGGCUGUGGGAGCCGAUGCAUGAUGGGAAAUUAAAGUGAGUCUUCCCCGGCUCAAGUGUGAAUGCUAAUGAAAUAAAGUGUAUAUUGGCCUAUUAUUUUCCCCUCAUGGAGACGUGGAAAAACGCAAAUGUACCCUCAGAGUUCUUUAUCUGCUUUACUUGUACUCAAGGGAGCGUUCUCAUUACAUUGGGUUUGAAGAGAUAAAACUAAUAACAAAGAAAAAUGAGAAGAGGCUGGCUAGGAAAGACUCUUCUUUGAAGUAAGCCAGUCCAUCCUAAGUUCAUAGGCAGUUUCCAUUCCUGGUGGGUGAGUGGCAAAGAAGAAUUUGAUAAUUAAACGAUGAGGAAAAACAUAAAAUAUUUUUUCACAGCCAAUGAUGUCAUUCUUCCUUGAAAUACUGCCUCCACAGAUCAAAGAUAAACAAACAGGCCAGGGGUGGGAAGGAGGCAUGGGCAGAAACCGGGAAUAAAAUGCACCCUUAAAGCCAAGAGUAUCUUUUCUCUCCUCCUUCUAAAAGCCAGAGCCUUCCAUUUGGAAUAUAAAUGUUUUUUAAAACUCUUGAUAAUUACAAAUGUAAAGGAGAGAAAAGAGCUUUCUUCGCAGUGGGGUUUCUUAUCUACACUGACCUCUAGUUCCUUCAGAUGGGGAUGUGGGCCCCAAUUCUCAGGAUUUUAGAAAAGAAUGUG